CCUGCGGAGGGAUCAUUACCGAGCGAGGGCCAUCGUGCCCGACCUCCAACCCUUUUGUGAAUUGACCUCUGUUGCCUCGGGGGCGACCCGGCCUCCGCGUCGGGGACCCCGGUGGACCCCAUUUCACACUGCGUCUCUGCGUCCGAGUCUGUAUGAUCAAUCAAUUAAAACUUUCAACAACGGAUCUCUUGGUUCUGGCAUCGAUGAAGAACGCAGCGAAAUGCGAUAAGUAAUGUGAAUUGCAGAAUUCAGUGAAUCAUCGAAUCUUUGAACGCACACUGCGCCCCUUGGUACUCCGGGGGGCAUGCCCGUCCGAGCGUCAUUACACCACUCAAGCCUGGCUUGGUAUUGAGCGUCGGGGGCGACCCGCGCUUCGACUUUGUCGGCUGGAAGACUCCGAUCUCAGCGUCGUGGCCUUACAGGUUCGCUGUCGAGAGGGGGAUUCCGUGCCGUUAAACGCCUCUCAUUACAGGUUGACCUCGGAUCGGGUAG
rnacentral:rRNA from 1 species